rnacentral:pre_miRNA from 1 species
UGUUAAAAAUUUCAUUUGUUGUAUUGCUAAAAAUUGGCGUGUUGAUGAAAUAAUUAGGCACGUUACGUGUACUUCAUGAUGACAAAUAGAAAUUAGUUUCUAACAGUAGAAAUGAAUUAAAUUUUUAAUA